GAUGAACGCUGGCGGCGUGCCUAAUACAUGCAAGUCGAGCGAAUGGAUUAAGAGCUUGCUCUUAUGAAGUUAGCGGCGGACGGGUGAGUAACACGUGGGUAACCUGCCCAUAAGACUGGGAUAACUCCGGGAAACCGGGGCUAAUACCGGAUAACAUUUUGAACCGCAUGGUUCGAAAUUGAAAGGCGGCUUCGGCUGUCACUUAUGGAUGGACCCGCGUCGCAUUAGCUAGUUGGUGAGGUAACGGCUCACCAAGGCAACGAUGCGUAGCCGGGCUGGGGGGGUGGUCGGCCCCACUGGGAAUACGACACGGCCCAGACACCCACGGGAGGCAGCAGUAAGGAAUCUACCGCAAUGGACGAAAGUCUGACGGAGCAACGCCGCGUGAGUGAUGAAGGCUUUCGGGUCGUAAAACUCUGUUGUUAGGGAAGAACAAGUGCUAGUUGAAUAAGCUGGCACCUUGACGGUACCUAACCAGAAAGCCACGGCUAACUACGUGCCAGCCGCCGCGGUAA
rnacentral:rRNA from 1 species